AGAAGAAAGAUGGAAGUAUGAGAAUGUGCAUCGAUUACAGAGAGCUGAACAAGGCAACAAUAAAGAAUAGAUAUCCGUUGCCGAGGAUUGAUGACCUGUUUGAUCAAUUGCAAGGUUCGAGCUAUUUCUCGAAGAUCGAUCUUAGGUCAGGAUAUCAUCAGCUGAAAGUAAGAGAGCAAGAUAUCGAGAAGACUGCAUUCAGAACUAGAUAUGGACACUACGAGUUCUUGGUUAUGUCGUUUGGACUAACCAAUGCUCCAGCAGCGUUCAUGGAUUUGAUGAAUAGGGUUUGUAAUCCUUUCCUUGAUAAAUCCGUGAUAGUGUUCAUAGACGACAUUCUGAUCUACUCGAAAAGCCAGGAGGAGCAUGGCAGACACUUGCGAGAAGUGUUAGAAGUUUUGAAGAAGGAGAAGCUUUAUGCGAAGUUCUCCAAAUGUGAUUUUUGGAUUCGUGAAGUCCAAUUCUUGGGUCACGUGGUCAACCAAGAAGGGAUAAUGGUUGAUCCAGCGAAGAUCGAAGCUGUGACGAAGUGGGAACAACCGAAAAGUCCCACGGAGAUUCGAAGCUUUUUAGGAUUAGCCGGAUAUUACCGAAGGUUUAUCCAAGGCUUUUCUUCGAUUGCUACUCCAUUAACAGCUUUGACCCACAAAGGAGCUACUUAUGCUUGGAGUGAGAAGCAUAAAGAAGCAUUCGAGAAGUUAAAGAAGAAGCUAUGCGAGGCACCGAUACUUUCUCUACCCGAUGGAGUUGAAGACUUCGCUGUUUAUAGCGAUGCGUCUGGUGUUGGAUUGGGUUGUGUUUUGACCCAAAGAGAAAAGGUGAUAGCAUAUGCGUCUCGACAGCUGAAAGAGCAUGAAAAGAAUUACCCGACUCAUGAUUUGGAGUUGGCAGCGGUAGUUUUCGCUCUGAAAAUAUGGAGGCAUUACCUCUAUGGCACGAAGUGCAAACUUUUCACUGAUCAUAAGAGUCUCCAAUACCUCUUUAAUCAGAAAGAAUUGAAUAUGAGGCAACGACGCUGGCUAGAAUUACUUAAAGACUACGACUGCGAGAUACUUUACCACCCCGGUAAAGCUAAUGUUGUUGCUGAUGCUCUCAGUCGGAAGGUCAAUCUUGAAAGGAAGAGGCCAAGAGCGUUGAGAAUUGAAGUUGUCUCGACCAUUGUGGAAAGUAUAAAGAAAGCUCAAGAGGAAGCUUCUGAGAAAAAUGACCGAAAGGAGGAACGUUUGGGUAAAACGUUGGUGUUUGGUACUAACGGUCAUGGACUGAAGGUAUUCCAAGAUCGUAUUUGGGUACCUAAGUCAGGAGGAAUUAGGGAUCUUCUGAUGGAAGAAGCUCACAAGACCAUGUACUCGAUUCAUCCGGGUAGCACUAAAAUGUAUAGGGACCUGAAACCCUACUACUGGUGGCCGACGAUGAAGCUUGAUGUUGCAAAGUAUGUGGCCGAGUGUGUGACUUGUGCGAGAGUCAAGACACAACAUCAGAAACCGUACGGGAGUUUAGAACCUUUGCCUGUGCCUAUGGGUAAGUGGGAAGACAUUGCUAUGGAUUUUGUCACUAAACUGCCCAGAACAAAGAAUGGUCACGACAUGAUUUGGGUGGUCGUUGAUCGAUUCACUAAGAGUGCGCAUUUCAUAGCGGCCAGGGAGAAAUGGUCUAUGGAAAAGCUUGCGAAUUCUUACGUGAAGGAAAUUGUGAGGCUUCACGGUGUUCCGUUAACGAUUGUAUCGGAUCGUGAUAGCCGUUUCACCUCAAGGUUUUGGAAAAGUCUACAAGAGGAAAUGGGUACCAAGUUAUGUUUAAGCACAGCUUACCAUCCGCAGACUGAUGGUCAGAGUGAAAGAACAAUACAAACACUUGAAGAUAUGCUGAGAGCAUGUACCUUGGAAUUCCUAGGUAAUUGGGAUGAACAUUUACCGUUGGUAGAAUUUUCCUAUAAUAAUAGUUUUCACUCGAGCAUUAAGAUGGCACCUUAUCAAGCUUUGUAUGGACAGAAGUGUCGUACGCCGUCUUGUUGGCUUGAGGCUGGGGAAAAGCAGUUUAUGGGACCGGAGAUGGUUCAUCAAACUGCUGAAAAGUUGAAAAUAAUUAGGGAAAGAAUGUUAGCAGCUCAAGAUCGUCAAAAGAGCUAUGCUGACAAGAAGCGAAGACCGAUGACUUUUGAGGUUGGAGAUUCGGUUUUGCUUAAAGUCUCGCCGUGGAAGGGACUUAUAAGAUUUGGUAAAAGGGGAAAGUUGAGUCCAAGGUUUAUUGGACCGUUUAGAGUCCUUCAGAGGAUUGGGAAUCAAGCUUACAAGCUCGAAUUACCCGAAGAACUGAAUGGAAUUCACAACACCUUUCAUGUGUGUUAUUUGAGGAAGUUCACGGGAGAAGUUCCCGAUAUAAUUCCAAUUUCUGAAUUGAGAAUUGAUGAGAACAAAAGGUUGAUUGAAGAACCAGAGGCAAUUGUUGACCGAAAGACUAAGAAGUUGCGACGCAAAAUGGUUGGGUUAGUGCUUGUCCGAUGGAAACACACGAAUGGGCCGAAUCUCACCUGGGAGACGGAGAGUGACAUGUUGAGUCGCUAUCCGCAUUUGUUUGUUGAUGUGUGAUUCCGGGGACGGAAUCAUUCUAAGGUGGAGAGAAUUGUAACGCCUGUGUUUCGGGCUUGCCAUUUGUAGCAAUGUAAUAGUCUAGGUUAACCUCUGUAACCCGUUUUGAAAUAAUAAGAUUGUAUUAUUUGAGUAUUAUGUGUUUUGUGCUUAAUUGCUUAAUUAUGUGGUUUGAUUAAUUAAGAAUAAAAAUAAGCGUCAAAAUUUAAGUGUAAAAUAAACUUAAUAUAUUUGGUUAAUGUUGUAGUAGUUGAAACGAGGUUUCCGAAUAUAUAUAGAACGCCCAAAUCUGACUUCGUAUGAGGAAGUUAUGAUUUAUCGAAGUUCCGGCUUAGCGAUAUACAGCCUGUUUUACUCGAUUUGAGAUCGAGCGGUUGUUAGCCGAAGCAAUCUAAAUGAGAAUCGAAGAUCUCAUUGUUGGUAUCGAAACGAUAAAAAGUUAGGCGAGAACGGACGUCAAACGAAGAAGUUAUGAAUUUAUAACGAAAGUUUCUGUCGCGGCCUAUUAAAAAUAAUUAAUAAAAAUAAAGUCAAAAUUAGCCGACGGAGUCUAAACGAAAGUCGUAGAGCGUGGUCUCACCUUCGCGUGGAUAUAAAGAACGUCGAAAACGGAGUUCGUAUGAAGAAGUUAUGAAUUUCCGAAGUUUAUUAAUCAUUUUGUAUUUAUAUUUAAAUCAAAAUUCGGAAGCAUUAUCCGAAGGAGUCACCGAUCUGAUCCGAGGUACGCCCCGCGUACUCGAGUACGCCCCGCGUACUCCGAGGGAUGUCGACACUCGCACUCGAGCACUUCGGAUACGUAAGCAAUGACGUUUUGGGCAGUACGCCCCGCGUAACGCAGUACGCCCCGCGUACUCCGAGGCUCCAGCCUCCUAUAAAUAGGAUGCGAGGGUUCCGGGUAUUUUUGCCAAUUCCCUCUCGUUUUCGUGUCGAAGCUCUGUGCAAAAACCCCCGAAGCUACCCCGAAGCCCCGGUAUCAUACUCUAGCCCCGAGGCAAGUCCCGAGAUCCCGAAGAUCCCGAAAAGUGCGGUUCCCGAGUCGAAGCUCUGCCCGCGAGAAGUUCGAUUUUCGAGAAGAUCUUCCAGAUCUGCUGUGGAUUACUACUUCUAUAAGCCGUAGUGCUGUCCGAUCAUCUUCUGAUCAAGUGAGUGUGUAGUUAUUUCUUCUAAUACAAUAAUACGAAGUAUUUUAUAUAAAAAUACGUGCUAUGUGUAUAUAUUUGGUUGUGUUAUGUGUGAAUGAGUAUUCACUCUCUUCUAUCUUAUAGAUCUGCUUAUUUCUUUAUGAGAUAUGUGUUAUGUGUGUGUGUGCCUCAUCUGUUAUGUGAUAUAUGUGUUGAUUAAAGCAUGCUAUACAGGUUUUCUUUAAACUAUGUAUACAAAUGUAUAUUUUUAUCUACUAAUAUGUUGGGUAGAACAUGGGUAGACAGUUGGUGUGUAAUAAACAGAUGAGAGGCCUCGUUGUUGUUUGAUUGAGUCAUCUAGCGGAGUUUAGAUGACGACCACUGGCUAUUCUAGACAGUCUUGUGGAAACAUUAGCAGGUUCGCCACCUGUAGGUGUUAAUGAACUUGGGUGUUCAUUCGCUGUACUCCAUCCCCCUCAUGGUUGCCUUAUUUGACUUAUAUUGCUGAGGUACCCCCGAAGCAUGUGUUGUCGCCCCGAUGAAAUAUUCUUAGACUAGGUCCCUUAUGUUAGUUGUUUUAGGGACAUUAAAGUGAGAAUAACGGGAAUGGGUAAUUGGGUUAUUGUUGGUUGGUGAAAAUUAAAUAUGAUAUUUAUUGUGGGUUGAAAACCCUAUAUGCUCACCAGGCUCCCAAGCCUGACCCACUCAGUUUUAAAUUGUAUUACAGGUAGUGGCGGAAGGGCAUGAGAUGGAUGAACCAUCAAGUUGUUUUGUUUACAAGUCUGCAUAUGUUUAUAUUUGUUAUAUGACUUGUAAUGUAUUCGUUUAUGCUUAUUGGUCUGUAUCGGAACAUGACACCCCGAGUUUUGAUUAUAAUGAAAAUACAUUUCUUUUAUGAAAUGCUUCGGUAAACAAUGUUUUAUCAUGUUUUGUUUUUGGGAACAAAUUCCGCAACUCUUUCAAAUCAAAAGGAUUUACUCUGAAAAUAUUUAAAAGCAUAAAUCAAAAUCGGUCUUUUCUGGCCGAGAUUUUGGGGAUGUCAUACGGUCCCUGCCUUAUAUUCAACCCAAGAAAAAGUUUAAUUGGACCCAUUGCGCUCAUUUCAAAUUUAGUCUCCAUCAGCUUCCUGAAUUCAGCUGUUAAGCUGGGAUUCGUGGAGCUGAAGAUGAUACCAUCGACAUAAAUUUGAACUAUCACUAGAUGUUCGCCUUCUUUCGUGCGAAAGAAGGUUGGGUCAACCGAACCUUGCUUGAAUUUAGAAAGCGAGUUAAUGUUUCAUACCAGGCCCUUAGUGCUUGUUUCAGUCCAUACACAUAUUUAUCUAACACAUAGCAAUGAUCAGGGUAUUUCUCAUUUAGUAACCCAGGUGGUUGCUCAACAUACACCGUUUCUUCUAGUUCUCCAUUCAGGAAGGCACAUUUCACAUCCAUUUGAAAAACUUCGAAGUUUUUAUGAGCAGCAUAUGCUAGAAAGAUUCGAACUGAUUCCAAUCUAGCUACAGGAGCGAAGAUCUCCUCAUAGUCUAUUCCUUCUUCUUGGCAAUAUCCCUUUACCACCAGCCGGGCCUUAUUCCUAAUAACAUUGCCUUCUUUAUCCAUCUUGUUCCUGAAGACCCACUUCAAUCCAACCAUAGAAGCAUCCUUUGGUGUGGGUAUUAGUCUCCAAACUCGAUUGUGUUAAAACUCAUGAAGUUAAUCUUGCAUUGCAUGUACCCAAUCAGCAUGAUCAAGUGCAGUGUUGAUUGUCUUUGGUUUGAUUUUAGAGACAAAAGAAUUAAACAUGCAUAAUUCAACUUGAGAGAAUAAUGCAGUUUGCUUCGCUUUCAACUGAGACCGUGUGAGAAUCCGUUCGGAUGAUUCACCAAUUAUCUGUGUUUUAGGAUGAUGCUUAGUCCAUUUUGUGAAAGGAUGGUAGUUCGGGUCAUAAACAAGAUCCAACUCUACAUUAAUCUCUUCUUCAAAUUCUGAUUGAUCGUCUUCAUCAUUUGUAUUUGCAUUCUCCCCCUCAAAUGGCGAAGUGUGUUCCUUGUCAGGUUCAUGAUCCUCCCCCUCAGUUGGAGUUGGAUUUUCUUGUUCGGUUGGAUUUGGAUUCUCUCCUUUGGUUAUAUGAGACACGGAUGAGCCCUCCUCCUCGAAUAUUGUUCUGUUAUUUGGAGGUUCUUUUGAGGGUCGAUCAUCAGCUUGUUUUGAAGGAUCCGUUGCCAUGUCUUUCGCAUCAUCUUCGAUGAUCCUUUUCAGAUGGUCGAUUUUGUUGUCUGAUGCAUUCGUCUCUAAGUGUAUAGUUUUUUAUGGAUCAUCAAAUAACCUCAUAUAUUCAAACAAAUUUGAAAUAGGAUCUGAUAGUUGUCAUGAUUCAGGAAAUAUUUCACCCAUGGAACUUUCUUUUGUUUGAGCUUUCUUUAUGUAGCAGUCAUCAAAGGUUACAUAAUAGGUUUCUUCAAUACAUUUGGGGUGUUUAUUCAAAACCCUAUAAGCCUUUGAAGUGAGUGAAUAGCCUAGAAAGAUUCCCUCAUCUUCUUUAACAUCGAACUUGUUUCGGUUCUCUUUAGAGUUGAAAAUGAAGCACCUGGAACCAAACACGUGAAAGAACUUGACAUUGGCUUUUCGGUUGUUCAGAAUGUCAUACAGAGUGAUUGAGAAUCGCUUGUUAAGUAAGGAUCUGUUUUGAGUAUAACAAGCGGUAGCAAAAGCAUCAGCCCAGAAGUACAAUGGGAGAAAAGCGAAGCUCAACAUGGUUCUGGCUGCUUCACAUAAGGAACGGUUACGUCUUUCAACAAUUAAUUCCAUUCUGUUGUGGAGUGUAGAGAGCAGAGAAGUUAUGGGAUACUCCCUUGUCGGCCAGAAAGUCUUCAAACUCUUUAUUCUUGAAUUCAAUCCCAUUGUCACUUCUGAUGUUCCUUACCACUUUUCAUACCUGCCGUUCAACUUGCUUGAUGAACAUCUUUAACUUGGGAGUCGCUUCUGAUUUCUGUUUAAGAAAGAAUACCCAGGUGAAACGUGAAAAAUCAUCUACUAUAACAAGAAUGAACUUACUGCCAUCGAUGCUUUCAAUAGCUGAAGGUCCACAUAAGUCAAUAUGUAGAAGUUCAAGUGCUUCAAUGAUCUUGGUAUUGAUACGUGAUCGAUGGCUCUUUCUGCUUUGUUUACCCAUCUCACAUGCUGCACGUAGGUGUUCCUUAUCAAACUUGAGAAUCAGAAGUCCUCGAACAUGAUCACCAAGCACCAACUUAUUGAUAUCUUUAAAGCUUAGGUGCGAGAGAUGUCGGUGCCAUAGCCAGAUUUCAUCCGAAUUCGCCUAAGACAGCAGGAAAAUAGCUGGUUUUCUUUUAAUUGGACUGAGGUUUAGGUUGUACAUCUUUCCUUUUCAUUCAGAUUUUAACAAGACUCUUUUGGAUUGCUUUUCGAAAAUUUCUGAUCUUUCAUCAUCGAAUGAGACUUUCAGUCCCAUAUCCACAACCAAUUGAGAUACACUAGAGAUUGUGUUGCAAUCCUUCCACGUACGCCACUUUUUGAAUUGUGAACUCUCUGUUGGUUAUCAUUAUAUAUCCUUUGAUUGUUCCAUAAGAGUUCUUGCCAUAUUUCACGCAUCCACCAUCCUUAAGGGACCGAAACUCCCUUAGCUCUUCCUUUCUCCCUGUCAUGUGACGUGAGUAGCCACUAUCUAUGUACCAUUCGUCGUCGAACUGCUCAUCACUUAUAACCUGCAAAUUUAAGCAGAUUUAGGAGCCCAAAGUCUCUUGGGCCCUGGUGACUUUUUCACAGAAAAAGGAAUAGCAAUAGAUAUAUCGACAAGAUAGGUUCUAUUUAUGAGUGUUUUCGUCUUUUCUUUUGAUGGUGUACACUUUUAUUUUAUUUUUAUCUUGUUUAAAUUACAAUGUACUACAUGGUGUUUUGAUAGUUGGAAUCCUCCUUGGAUCCCUAGGGUUAGCUUCCUUUUUAUUAUGAUUGACAUCUGCUUUAGAAUCAAGUUUUCCUUUCCCUUUAACAUCCUCUAUUGAGUUAGGUUUCUGUUGGGAAGAACCGAGACUUGACCUUUGGUUCUCAUUUUUGGUGUUGGAACCGAACCAUGAAGUUCGGUUCUGAACUCUGUUAUUGAAACUGAAACCAGAUGUUCGGUUCUGUCCUUUGGAGUCAGAACAGAGACUGGAUGUUUGCUUUUGAGAUUUGGAAUAGUUAGAACUGGGACUAAAAUUUUUCUUUCUUUUGAUCUAUGGUUUGUCCUUUUCUACAACAUUUCCUUCUUUCUUCGAGGGAACAUGGUUAGGGUUUUGAGAUUGCCAAAACCUUUUUCGCUCAUUCAGAUUCUUCAUGUACCUCUGAUUUCUUUGGCAUUUCUGUUCAGCCAACUCCUUCUGAGAUUUAUGAAUGUUGAUGCUUGAUUUCUGCUUCUCCUUUUGAGCUUCGAUUGAAUUGGAAGAUAUAUUCGAAGUCUUCUUUGAUUCUUCCGUUUUCUUUCCCAGUUCUUCUGGUAUCACUUUGGUUCCACUUGUGCUUGGUUUGUCAAAUCUUGAUGGUUUGUUGAUUGGUUCGGCAACAUAUAUGCUCUUUACCCUCCAUGAGGUUUUCUCAGAUAGACCCACUGUCUUGUCUGCAUUAACGAUAGGAGUAGAACAAAAAUAGUUGUCACACCCUUCAGCAUUGUCUUUGUCAACCAGGAUUUUUAGUUCAGCUGUUUGUUUUCUAGUGACCCCUGUGACAGCGUAAGCCUGAUUUGGCACAAUUUGAACCUUCUGGUAAACCACUACUUUCUCUUUGAGUUUCUUUGACUUAUUAUCCCUUGACAAACAUGCAUAUUCAACGGAAUUUUCGGUUAUUAGGGGUUCUCGUUUUCGAUUUUCAUGAACUCGGAGCAAUCAACUUUGUCUUCCACUGAAAUUUCACUCAUCUCACUCUCCUCAUCAAAUUUAGACGUAUUUUCUACAUUCAUUUUAUGUUCAGUCAUUAAUUUUGAGUUUGAAGAGUCAAAUGAUUGUAGGGUCUCUGUCUUAAUUUUCAGCUUAUCAUUUUCAUCUAAGAGCCUUUUAAGCAUGCAUUUGUGUUAUUUUGAGUCAAUGAAAGACUCAAUUUUGUCCAAAACCGAUUUUAUAAGUGACAGAAGUCUCUUAUGAGGACAUUAUGGAUUCACAUUCAGCAAUGACCUCAUCCUCCUUAAACUCAAGGAAGGGUCAGAUCAUCUUAAGAAUGUUUUUCCCUAUUUCACAAUCUAAAUACAAUUGAGUAAUAUUUGUAUAUAAGCGUUUAGCAACUAAGCAAAAAAAAAAAUCUUUGUUUUAAAAAUUUCAAAUUGUCUCUCUGCAAAUAGAUAAUCUCAUCCCUAGCCCUAAUUAACUCCGUCUCCUUCAGCUCAAUCCACACGUGUCUCUCCUCAAUCUUCGAUGACUCCCUACUGAGUUGGUCAGUUAGGUUAGAGUUCGUUAAGCGAGUUUGCAUGAGACUACUACUGAGAUUAGCGAAUUUAAAUUUAAGUUCAUUUAAUUCUUCUUUGUAAUUUUUGACGGGAACUUUAAGAAAUUCGAGGAUGGAUUGUAGCUUUUUGAUCAACCGAUCGCAGUCGUUAAUCUUUUCACUCAUGGUCUUUGUUGCGAAACAUUUUUCCUCCUUCAAGUUCGGCUCCUUAUGCUCAUCUUCUGUUGGUACACCUGCAGUCACCAUCAAGCACUUCCCAGCCGAACCGUUAACUUCCUCUCUUGCUACAUAUGCUCUGCCAUGGAUAGGCUUCCUCACUUCUUCAUCCUCAGAGUCUGUUGAUCAGACUUCAACGCCUCCAAACUCAUCAUCGACCAUCUUCUCCUGCACAAUCAAGACAUUCAUAGAAUUGUUAGUUAACUUCCUUUUCUUUAGCUCCUCAAAGUUUCGCUCAUGAUAAGCCUCAUCAUCUACACCAUCCCUUUUCUUUGCCAUCUUUCGUAACAUGCAAUCUUUGGCAAAGUGAUUCUUGACGUGACAAUAAUUGCAUUCGUAUCCAAAAUCUCCUACUAGCUGUCUUUCUUUCUUAUCAUCAUCCUUUUGAGAGACGUGCUUCGAUUAUUCUUUCACCAUCUCAGAGCUGUAACUUCCUUGCCAGUUUUGGUUUUUAUUGGUAGGAAAUUUCCUUUGUGCAAACUUCUUAGGAUUGGAGACCAUCGUUGAAUAUUCUUCACCUGUGAGGUCACAAUCAGACAAAUUUGAGUCAUCUUCUUCUUUCGUCGCAUUCUUCCCUUUUGAGAUAAGGGCUAAAGAGCCCAUACCAGACACCAUCUUUGCUUCUUUUGUAACUGUGCUUUCAUGAGAUUUUAAAAUUCCCAUCAGUUUUGCCAGCGAGUAAGACUUGAAUUGUUCAUGAGCCUUUAUAGUUGAGACCACUACCGUCCACUCAGGUCUCAGGCCAUUCAUAAAUGUGACCUUCUGUUGAAUCUCCUUUCUUUCAAUAUCGUGCUUCAUCAUCUUGUUGAUCAGAUGAUUGUAGCGAUCAAAUGUCUGAAGAAGAGUCUCAUCAGGUUUUUGGGCGAAAGCACCGAACUCAGAGAGUAGCAAGGUUUGUAUCGAGUGCUCCAGAUCUUCAUCAGUCGAAUACAAUUGUUUCAUCUUGUCCCAUAUUUCCUUUGUGGUAGUGCAUGAACUCACCAGACGGAAGGUAUUGACUUGUAGGGAAAAUCUGAUCAUCCUCAAGGCUUUAAGAUUGCACUGCUUCUUUUCUUUUUCAUCUUGUGGAAUCUUCUCUACGUCCACUAAAAGCUCAUUGUACUCCUUUUGAGUCUUCACUGUCCUUCUUGUUCGAGCAUGAACAAACGGACCGAUGGUAAUUGCUUCCCAGAUGAGAUACCCAUUGUCUUCAGAUCCAACCAUGUAAUCUUCAAAGUGAUGCGUCCACACUUCAUAGUCUUGAGUGUAAAGAAUGGGAACUCUUGUGGAUGAUCCAAUGCUAUUCGAUAUGUUGAUCGGAUUGCUUUAAGAGUCUUCGUGCGACAUGAUGAUCUUGUGUUCUGGAUCUGCUAGAAUCAGACUUGUAAACUUGAGAUUAGGGUUUUAUCAAACACUAAAGUUAUCGUCGACAGGUAGAAGACGACCUUUAUAUAUUAGAUAAAAGCAGAAACCCUAAUGAAUUCUUCCCACAGAAGGAAUGUGUAUGAGUAACAUAGUCUCCUGCUCUGAUACCAAUUGUUGGAGUAAUAUUCCUUAAUGAUCGAUAGAUUCAUGCAGAAAAGCAAUAAAUGAAACAAUAAGAACACAAGAAUGGAUUGAACGAUAUCGAAUGAUUAAACUUUAACACCCCAGAAGAGCUCGAUGAAGAACUUCGACUGUAGAGGUGCUUAGGGUUACAAUGCAAAAGAUAAUCAAAUUUCUAUCGUAUUUAAGGCAUACAUUCAUGCACUAUAUAAUACUACAUAACCCUAAUCACGGUUGGACAGGCCCAAACCGGAUAUACAAAAUACUAGCCCUUGACGCAACACAUAAUACCAAUGUGAUUAUACCGCAUCCCCUAGAGCUUAUUCCGUAUUGGAUAGAUGUGAUUUUGACUCUGAUGUUUUGAGAAAACUAUUACUUUUACUAUCCUUGGGGCUAAUGAAUGAAUGAAUUGAGUGGUUAAAAAUGAAAUUUUUACUUGGUAUUUUGCGACAUUACAAGUUUGUAUCAUAGCCUUGGUUUCAGGGAUCUAGGUAUACUCUCAGGUGUGUCUGAACUCAAACUGAGGAAUUGGUAAUCUUUUCUUAAGAACAUAAGUUAUCUGAAAGUUUUUUAUAAAGAAAAAAGGAUGUGAUGCAUGCAAUCAACCAAGUUCAAGCAAGUGAACUCCAAAAUACCCAAAAGUAUUGAUAACUUAUACGAUAUGGAAUGUUUUCAUGCGAGGAAUAAGCUAAGGAUACAUUCAUGAAUAAUAUGAUAGAAUGGUAUGAUUUGUGAUGCCUUGUAUCCUAGGAGGAAUGUGAUACAAUGUUAGUUUUGGAAUCUAUAUUGGUGGAAUUGAUUGAUAAGUGUAUGUUUGAAAAUUAUAUACGGUUAGGAUCAUAUAGCCCUAGAAUGAAUGAUUUAGCCUUAUUUCCCGUUCCUCAUAUAGUUUUAGUCUUAGGAUAGAAUCAUUUAUUCAACAAUAUAUUUGAUCUCGUAUUGUCUAUAAUUUGCAUGCAUAAGGAAACCGACAAUAUGAGUGGAGGUUCCUGUAAUUGUAGUAACAAGUGACUUUGGGAUGUUCUUCGAUUGUUUUGUAGCUUUUUAGUGUUACUGCAUAGAUGUUGCUAGAUUUGUUCUUUGUGUGACUCCUAUUGAUGUGAGCUAACUAUUAAUUGAAUAUGUCGAGUUACAUGUUGAGAAGAUUAAAUAAUUUUAGAAUGAUUGAUUUUCCUUAUUGUAUAUCUCUCAUUUGAGUCUGACCGUUGUAGGGUUGGGUAUUCUAGUCAAAAUAUUAUUUAAGUUUUCUUGCAUGUAAUUGUACUAAUGAUGUAGUUAGCUGACCUUGGUAGGAGUUCUUUAGUAGCUGAUGGCAGGAUGAGAUGGGGGAUCCUAGGAGAGCCUCGAAAGUAUUUUAGUGGAAUUAGUGAGCUGUUUAGCAGGUAUUUGGAGUAUCAAUAUGACAAAGUGACUUAGAGGAUUCUGGAUAAUUCAUAAGGAAAGUAUGAAUAGGUGUGGAAGGUAGUAUUGGGCCCCUACUACUAAAAUUAUAUGAUCGAUACUUAAAUCCAGGAAAGUUACUGGGAUUUUAUGAAGCCUAGAGAAUGAGGAUUCGUUGGGUAUAUUUUGACCAUUUGUAGAGUUACAUUGCAGUAUGGUGAUGAGAAUUCAUGGAGGAGGUUCUGGUUCGGGUUCAGGUUAUAGCUCUAGUGCUAAGCCGAUUGAUGAGAGGAUUCACGAGUUUGUUUCGUUAGAGAUCAAUCGCAGUAUUUUCUAUGCGACUCCUAUAAUGUCUGGUACCAUCAAGGAAGCAAUCUGAAAGAUCUAAUAUACUCGAGAGUCAUAUUAGAAUGAUAUUGCUAAUUAACAUAUGAUCCUAAGAGUCAUACUAACAACAACUUGAUACAAUUGAUUAUCUAUUAGAAGUUGAUUUAAAUAAAUAUUCAUAAAAUCUUAUAACAAAUUAGAAAAAUAUUUAUUUCAUGGAAAUAAUUGGUUUACAAUUACAAGAAACACAUUAUUUCAUAUGGUAAGAAUUAACAUGUCAUGUACAACAUUUUGGUCUAGAUAAAUCAUUUUGUCAUUUACCAAAAAGUCUAACUUUAUAUCUUAUAAAAAGUUUAUAAAAUUGGAAAGUUUGUAUUCUUUUUUCUUGCCAAACCCAUGGGUUUUCUAAGGGACAUAAGUAAGGUCUUUUGAUUUGUUUAAUCAAAAGAUCAUCCUCUAAUAACGCAUACAUGGACAUGAUAACUAGCUAUGGACAUGAUGACAAAAAAGUGUUAUGAGCUCUUGGUUAAGGACCUUUCUUUAGGACCUUAAGAGAGGAUUUUGUUUUUGGUCAUUCUCGCAUGUAUUUGGACACAACUAUAAGCUCCAUAUCACUUGUCUAUUGCCUUUUGAAGAUAAGGAGUAUGGGUUUGUGACAUCCUGAAAUUUAUGGAUAAUAUUAUAGACGAUCAAUUCACCGCGAAUCUCAUUGUAACUUGACUUAUUGAGUUUUACUGCAUCUUAAGUAAAAUAAAUAAGUUCAUUUCAAUUAUUAUGAAAUAUCAGAUUAUAUCAUACUUCCAAAUAUAGAAACUAACAACCAAAUCAAACCACUCAAAGUUUGCAUUAAGCAUUUUUUGAGCAAAGCAAACAUUAACAUAUUUUAGUACAUGUUCCAUUGUAUCCGAAAAUAUAAAGGAUGUCUAAAAUGAAGUUCGUGUAAUGCCUGUGUUUCCAGGCUUGCCAUUUUUAGCAAUAUAAUAGUCUAGGUUAACCGUUGUAAACCGUUUUGAAUUAAUAAGGGUGUAUUAUUUGAGUAUUAUGUGUUUUGUGCUUAAUUGCUUAAUUAUGUGGUUUGAUUAAUUAAGAAUAAAAAUAAGCAUCAAAAUUUACGUGUAAAAUAAACUUGAUAUCUUUGGAUAAUGUUGUAGUAGUUGAAACGAGGUUUCCGAAUAUAUAUAAAACGCCCAAAUCUGACUUCGGAUGAGGAAGUUAUGAUUUAUCGAAGUUUUGGCUUAGCGGUAUGCAGCCUAAAAUACUCGAUUUAAGAUCGGGGGGUUUUUAGCCGAAGCAAGCUAAACGAGAAUCGAAGAUCUCGUUGUUGGUAUCGAAGCGAUGAAGAGUUAGGCGAGAACGGACGUCAAACGAAGAAGUUAUGAAUUUAUAACGAAGUUUUUGUGUCCCGGCCUAUUAAAAAUAAAUAAUAAAACUAAACUCAAAAUUAGCCGAUGGAGUCUAAACGAAAGUUGUAGAGAGUAGUCUCACCUAUGCGUGGAUAUAAAGAACGUCGAAUACGGAGUUAGUAUGAAGAAGAUAUGAAUUUUUCGAAGUUUAUUAAAGAAUUAAUAAUUAAAUUUAAUUAUUAAAUCCGGCAUUAUCCGAAGAGGAGUUAUCGAACUCAUCCGAAGUACGCCCAGCGUACUAGCGUACGCCCCGCGUACAGCGAAGCAUGACAAGCCUCGCACUCGAGUUCUUCGGAUACGUAAGCAAUGACGAUUCUGAGGCAGUACGCCCCACGUACUCCGAGGCUCCAGCCUCCUAUAAAUAGGAUGCGAGGGCAGCUAACUCUUUUGCUCUUUUUCUCUCUUCUCUCUCCCGUUUUACCUCGAUUUGCAUGCCAAAAAUACCCCUAAUCCCCGGUAUCAUUCUCGAGCCCCGAAGCAAGUCCCGAGAUCCCGAAGAUCUCGAGAAGUGCGAUUCACGAGCCGAAGCUCUGCCCACGAGAAGUUCGAUUUUUGUAGAGAUCUUCCAGAUCUGCUGAGGCUUACUACUUCUGCAAGUCGUAGUGCUGUCCGAUCAUCUUCUGAUCAAGUGAGUGUAUACUAGCUUUCAUAAACACGAUAAUAAUACAAGUAUGGUUUGAGUGUAUUAAGUAUAUUGUUGUUUAUAGGUGUCAGUGUGUAGUUACUUUCUUCUAACGCAUAAUUAUGAAGUAUUUUAUAUGAAAUACGUGUUAUGUGUAUAGUUUUGUUGUUAUGUGCGUGAAGGUAUAUUCACUCUCUUCAAAUCUCAUAGAUCUGAUUUGUUUUCUAUGAAAUACGUGUUAUGUGGUUGUGCCUAAUCUGUUAUGUGGAAUAUAUAUUGAAUGAAAAUGCUAUACAGGUUUUAAACUAUGUAUGAAAAUACAUAUUUUUAUCUACUAAUAUGUUGGGUAGAACACGGGUAGAUAGUUGGUGUGUAAUUAACAGAUGAGAGGCCUCGAUGUUGUUGUUGUUGAUCUAGUUAUUCAGCGGAGUAUGGAUAACAACCACAGACUCUUUCUAGACAGUCCUGUGGAACGCUAGCAGGUUCAUAACCUAUAGGUGUUAUGAACGAUGUGUUCACCGGUGUACUCUAUCCCCCUCAUGGUUGCCUUUAGGAUAUCUAUUGUUGAGGAAACCCCUUCGCAGUGAUGUCCGUCCCGAUGAAAAUCCUAGAUUAGGUCCCUUGAGAUAGUUGUUUUAGGGACGUAAAGUGAGGAUAACGGGAAUGGGUAAUCGGGAUAGUGAUUGGUUGGUGAAAUUAAAUAUAACUUAUUUAUUGUGGGUUGAAAACCCUAUAUGCUCACCAGGCUCCCAAGCCUGACCCACUCAGUUUUAUUUGUAUUACAGGAAGUGGCACAAGGGCGUAAGAUGGAUGGAUCAUCUUGUUGUUUUGUUUACAAGUCUGUAUAUGUAUAUAUUUGUUGAAUGACUUGUAAUGUUUAUCGUUUAUGCUUUAUGGUCUGUAUCGGAACAUGACAUCCCGAGUUUUGAUUAUAUAAUGAAAUGCAUCUCUUGAUGAAAUGCUUUGAUAAAUAUUAUUUUAUCAUGUUUUUUUUUGGGAACAAAUUCCGCAACUCUUUCAAAUCAAAAGGAUUUACUCUGAAAAUAUUUAAAAGCAUAAAUGAAAAUCGGUCUUUUCUGGCCGAGAUUUUGGGGAUGUCACAGUUGGUAUCAGAGCAUUAGUUUAAGCGAACUAGGAAUUUGUAGGAUUUCUAGACUUAAACUUAGAAUGCUAAGUGGAAUUUUGAGAUGUGUGUCUGUUGGAUUUUAGACACGAGCACUAGUUUAUUUUAGGAAAGUUGCCUAAAAUGCUUUUAUGUGCUAAAUGUUAUAUGUUGCCAUAUAUGAUAUUAUUUGUUCGGAUCUACGGUCUGUUGCCGACCGGAUCUGGAAACCUUAUGUGUGUAGGAUUCUAAGCGUAUGUCUACGUUAUUAGAACUAGCAUGUAAACGUUUCGGAGUAAUAAGGAUGAUUUGAAUAUCUAUCGUGAAUGAGGAUCUAAUUUCACCUUAUUCGGUGUGUAGAUCAAAAAUGGUGAGAACAAGGAGUGGCGUUGGAAACGCGGAUGAAAACAGGAAUCAACCGCCAGUGAUUGAGCAAAUACCUGUUGUAGCAGCAGCACCAGAACCAAUAACAAUGGCUGCGGUGCAAGCCAUGAUUCGGGCUAUGCUAGCCGAACAAAGGGAGGAGAUGCGACAAAUGUUGCAUAAUAAUAGGGAUGAACCUAUCAUACCUAUUGAGGAACCGGAAUUGAUUCCCGAGCAAUCGGAGGAAGGGAACAAUAGUCGCAUGGUGAGUCAAGUUGGGACUCAAGAGGAACGAAGGAACGAUCCAGAAAGGAGAAACAACAAGGAUGGGCGUAUGUACAAGAACUUCUUGGGCGCCAAACCGCCAAGUCUUUCUGGGAGCCCAAAGCCUGUUGAGAUAAUGGAUUGGAUCUCCGAAAUGGAGAUGGUAUUUGAAAGUUGCGACUGUAGCAACAAACAGAAGACCGUCUUUGCAGUUAGACAACUGAAGACUGGAGUCUUGAGUUGGUGGAAGUUGUUGGCAGAUACUAUGCCACGAGGAGAAGCCCUGAAAAUGUCAUGGGAGGAGUUCUUGGAACAACUAAGGGUGCAGUAUUGUUCAGAGAUAGAUCUGAUUGAUCUGAACAAUGAGUUCCAAAACUUGAAGAAGGGGAGGAUGAGCAUAGAUGACUAUGCUACUGCAUUCACUGAGAAAAUGAAGUUAUUUCCGUACCUAGUGCCAACGGAACUCUCCAAGAUUGAGAGGUUUGCUAAUGGACUGCCUGCCGACUUUGGUCCGACAGUCAAGAUGGCAACCACUCUGAAAACGGUUGUUCGUGCAGCUAAGAAUGUGGAGGCCCAGCAGAAGGAAAAGGGUCUGGAAAGGAUAGAAGUUGGUGAAAAGAGGAACUUCGAUGGAACUUCAGGGUCCAAUAAGAAAAACAAGUUCUCGAAAUCUAGUUCGAGGGGAGGUGGAGGCGAAGCGAAAUGGUGCGACAAAUGUAAGAAGAAGCAUCAUGGAAAAUGUGAGGUAGCGGCCACAUGCUACAAAUGUGGAAAGCCAGGGCACUAUGCAAAUGAAUGCACCCUCUCUAAGAAGGUUUGCUAUGGUUGUGGUGAGGAGGGACACAUGUCGAGGGACUGCCCAAAGAAGAAGGAGGCAGCUAGACCCAACAUUCCACCAAAGCCAAAGGCGAGAGCAUUCCAGAUGACACUGGAAGCUGCUAAAGAUGAAGCUGAUGUCGCUUUAGGUACCUUUCUCGUAAACACAUUGCCUGCCCAAAUUUUAUUUGAUUUGGGAGCCAACUACUCCUUUAUAUCGCAUGAAUUUGGUAGAAAACUAUCUUUGCCUGUUGUUAGACUAGAUAAUGCUUUAUUAGUCGAAGUUGCUAGUGGCAAGUUUGUACCUGUUAGCCAUCGUAUGAAAAACAUCUUAAUUGACUUGAAUGGGAAUAAGUUCCACGAGGAAUUAUUGCCUAUCGAACAUAAUGGUUUCGACAUCGUAUUGGGAAUGGAUUGGCUUAGCGCCAAUGAUGCCAAAAUUUUAUGCAAGAAGAAGUUGGUUAAAGUAAACCCGCCUGGGAAAGAUUCGUUUAUGGUGUAUAGGGACAAAAGCAGAGUGAAUUCUGGAAUCAUUUCCCUAAUGAAAGCCAGAAAGUGUUUGACCAAGGGAUGUACAUCAUAUUUAGCAUUCGUGAAUGAUGCUCAGUAGGAAAAGAAGGUGAUGCAGAGUAUUCUAGUGGUGUGUGAUUAUCCGGAAGUAUUUCCCGAAGAUCUUCCCGGAUUACCGCCUGAUCGAUAAGUGGAAUUUUGUAUUGACUUGUUGCCAGGAACAACGCCAAUUGCAAAAGCACCUUAUCGAUUAGCACCGACGGAGAUGAAGGAGUUGAUGAUGCAACUUCAAGAGUAAUUGGACAAAGGUUUCAUUAGACCUAGUUCAUUGCCCUGGGGAGCUCCGGUGUUAUUCGUGAAGAAGAAAGAUGGAAGUAUGAGAAUGUGCAUUGACUACAGAGAGCUGAAUAAGGCAACAAUAAAGAAUAGAUAUCCGUUGCCAAGGAUUGAUGACCUGUUUGAUCAAUUGCAAGGUUCGACCUAUUUCUCGAAGAUCGAUCUAAGGUCAGGAUAUCAUCAGCUAAAAGUAAGAGAGCAAGAUAUCGAGAAAACUGCAUUCAGAACUAGAUAUGGACACUACGAGUUCUUGGUUAUGUCGUUUGGACUAACCAAUGCUCUAGCAACAUUCAUGGAUUUAAUGAAUAGGGUUUGUAAUCCUUUCCUUGAUAAAUCUGUGAUAGUGUUCAUAGACGACAUUCUGAUUUACUCGAAAAGCCAGGAGGAGCAUGGCAGACACUUGCGAGAAGUGUUGGAAGUUUUGAAGAAGGAGAAGUUGUAUGCACAGUUCUCCAAAUGUGAUUUU
rnacentral:lncRNA from 1 species